AUUGAACGCUGGCGGCAGGCCUAACACAUGCAAGUCGAGCGAGCGGCGGACGGGUGUGAAUUGUAUGGGGACAGCCCGAUAGGGGGGGAUAAAUACAGGAAACGGUAGCUAAUACAGCAUACUAUCGGGUUACCCAUAUGGGGUAUGCUCGUAGGUGAGGUAAUGGCUCACCUAGGCGACGCUCCCUAGCUGGUCUGCGAGGAUGAUCAGCCACACGUGGACUGAGACACGGCCCAGAUUCCUACGGAGGCAGCAGUGGGGAAUAUUGCACAAUGGGCGAAAGCCUGAUGCAGCCAUGCCGCGUGUAUGAAGAAGGCCCGAGGGUUGUAAAGUACUUUCAGUCGGGAGGCGUUACCGACAGAAGAAGCACCGGCUAACUCCGUGCCAGCAGCCGCGGUAAUAC
rnacentral:rRNA from 1 species